UACGGGGGGAGCAAGCGUUGUUCGGAUUUACUGGGCGUAAAGGGCUCGUAGGCGGCCAACUAAGUCGGACGUGAAAUCCCCAGGCUCAACCUGGGAACUGCGUCCGAUACUGGAUGGCUUGAAUCCGGGAGAGGGAUGCAGAAUUCCAGGUGUAGCGGUGAAAUGCGUAGAUAUCUGGAGGAAUACCGGUGGCGAAGGCGGCAUCCUGGACCGGCAUUGACGCUGAGGAGCGAAAGCCAGGGGAGCAAACGGG
rnacentral:rRNA from 1 species